rnacentral:rRNA from 1 species
UACGGAGGGGGCUAGCGUUGUUCGGAAUUACUGGGCGUAAAGCGCACGUAGGCGGCUUUGCAAGUCAGAGGUGAAAGCCCGGGGCUCAACCCCGGAAUAGCCUUUGAGACUGCAUCGCUAGAAUUGUGGAGAGGUAAGUGGAAUUCCGAGUGUAGAGGUGAAAUUCGUAGAUAUUCGGAAGAACACCAGUGGCGAAGGCGACUUACUGGACACAUAUUGACGCUGAGGUGCGAAAGCGUGGGGAGCAAACAGGGAU